AACGAACGCUGGCGGCAGGCUUAACACAUGCAAGUCGAACGAGAUCUUCGGAUCUAGUGGCAGACAGGUGAGGAACACGUGGGAACAUUCCUUUCAGUUCGGAAUAACGUUGGGAAACUAACGCUAAUACCGGAUACGCCCUUCGGGAGAAAGAUUUAUCGCUGAAAGAUUGGCCCGCGUCUGAUUAGCUAGUUGGCGAGGUAACGGCUCACCAAGGCUACGAUCAGUAGCUGAUCUGAGAGGAUGAUCAGCCACAUUGGGACUGAGACACGGCCCAAACUCCUACGGGAGGCAGCAGUGGGGAAUAUUGGACAAUGGGCGCAAGCCUGAUCCAGCCAUGCCGCGUGAGUGAUGAAGGCCUUCGGGUUGUAAAGCUCUUUUGUCCGGGAAGAUAAUGACUGUACCGGAAGAAUAAGCCCCGGCAAACUUCGUGCCAGCAGCCGCGGUAA
rnacentral:rRNA from 1 species